AAUGGUAUUUCAUGAAUUGUGUAUAAUUAAUUAAGGUUGCUAAUGGAGCCCGAAUCUGAUGUAUUUUUUGGUUAGUUGUUGUUGAUCUAUUUUACAGUUUUAAAUGCAGUAUGGUAUUUGAUGUGUUUAUUCUAUGGUUUCGUAUGCAUGAAUCACGUUUCGUUUAUUAUGAUUUGAAUUAUUGUGAACCCGUUGUUGUCUUGUUUGGUGUUC
rnacentral:lncRNA from 1 species